rnacentral:rRNA from 1 species
UACGUAGGGUGCAAGCGUUGUCCGGAAUUAUUGGGCGUAAAGAGCUCGUAGGCGGUCUGUCGCGUCGGCUGUGAAAACCCGGAGCUCAACUCCGGGCCUGCAGUCGAUACGGGCGGACUAGAGUUCGGCAGGGGAGACUGGAAUUCCUGGUGUAGCGGUGAAAUGCGUAGAGAUCGGGAGGAACACCAGAGGCGAAAGCGGCGACCUGGACAGGCACUGACACUCAACUACGAAAAGCGUGGGGAGCAAACAGGAUU